rnacentral:rRNA from 1 species
GACGAACGCUGGCGGCGUGCCUAAUACAUGCAAGUCGAACGCUGAAGGAGGAGCUUGCUUCUCUGGAUGAGUUGCGAACGGGUGAGUAACGCGUAGGUAACCUGCCUGGUAGCGGGGGAUAACUAUUGGAAACGAUAGCUAAUACCGCAUAAGAGUAGAUGUUGCAUGACAUUUGCUUAAAAGGUGCAAUUGCAUCACUACCAGAUGGACCUGCGUUGUAUUAGCUAGUUGGUGGGGUAACGGCUUACCAAGGCGACGAUACAUAGCCGACCUGAGAGGGUGAUCGGCCACACUGGGACUGAGACACGGCCCAGACGCCUACGGGAGGCAGCAGGAGGGAAUCUUCGGCAAUGGACGGAAGUCUGACCGAGCAACGCCGCGUGAGUGAAGAAGGUUUUCGGAUCGUAAAGCUCGGUUGUAAGAGAAGAACGAGUGUGAGAGUGGAAAGUUCACACUGUGACGGUAUCUUACCAGAAAGAGACGGCUAACUACGUG